CCCUUAGAUGUUCUGGGCUGCACACGUGCUACACUGGCAGGUUCAGCGAGCUUCAUGCCCUGAUCUGAAAGGAAUGGGAAAUCUUUUCAAAACCUGCCGUGCUUGGGAUAGAUGUUUGCAAUUAUUCAUCUUCAACGAGGAUUGCCUUGUAAGCGCACGUCAUCAGCGUGCAUUGAAUACGACCCUGUAUUCUGUACACACCGCCCGUCGCUCCUACCGAUUGAGUGGUCCGGUGAGGCUUUGGGAUCUGAGCGGAAAGAGCGUUUCGCUGUUUCUGCUCGGAAAACUCAGUCGAACCUUAUCAUUUAGAGGAAGGAGAAGUCGUAACA
rnacentral:rRNA from 1 species